GGAAUUUCAGGAAUGGAAAGAGCAUCAAAGAAAAUGCAAACACAGAAACAAGAAUGACAGGAUGGUGGAAACGAAGUGAGGAACGCAUAAUUCAUUUGCGGAGAUGUCUGUGAGACGGUGACAUUUCAGCAGAAACCAGAACCAUGUAAAGUGUAAAUCACAUGGAGCUCUGGGCAAGUGUGUCCAUCUGGUCAGAGGGAAUAGCAAGAGUGAAAGGAGCAAAGGAAGUAAGAAAGGCUUGGGCCGGAUGUGGUGGCUCAUGCCUGUAAUCUCAGCACUUUGGGAUGCCGAGUCGGUGGAUCACCUGAGGUCAGGAGUUCGAGACCAGCCUGGCCAACAUGGUGAAACCCUCGUCACUACUAAAAAUACAAAAAAUUAGCUGGGCAUGGUGGUGGACACCUGUAAUCCCAGCUACUAGGGAGGCUGAGGCAGGAGAAUUGCUUGAACUCUGGAGGCAGAGGCUGCAGUGAGCCCAGAUCAUGCCACUGCACUCCAGCCUGGG
rnacentral:lncRNA from 10 species